rnacentral:rRNA from 1 species
AGAACGAACGCUGGCGGCAGGCCUCAAACAUGCAAGUCUAGGGGGUGUAGCAAUACAUCACCGGCGGACGGGUGCGUAACGCGUGGGAAUGUACCUAUUGGUUCGGAACAACUGAGGGAAACUUCAGCUAAUACCGGAUGAGCCCGAAAGGGGGAAAGAUUUCUCGCCAAUAGAUCAGCCCGCGUCCGAUUAGCUAGUUGGUGGGGUUAAAGCCUACCAAGGCGACGAUCGGUAGCUGUUCUGAGAGGAAGAUCAGCCACACUGGGACUGAGACACGGCCCAGACUCCUACGGGAGGCAGCAGUUGGGAAUCUGGACAAUGGGGGAAACCCUGAUCCAGCCAUGCCGCGUGAGUGAUGAAGGCCUUCGGGUUGUAAAACUCUUUCGACGGGACGAUAAUGACGGUACCCGUAGAAGAGCUCCGGCUAACUUCGUGCCAGCAGCCGC